rnacentral:lncRNA from 1 species
AUGGGUGUUGAAGAACGAUCGUUGACUGCUCAUCGGAUUUCGGAAGACCCAUCUCGUUUCAGGUCUAGAGACGUAGUUGAAGUUAGAGGUGCACAAAUCGGGUUAGGGUUUUAACCUGAACCGGCUUCAAACUGCUUUGAAGUGAAGCUUAAAAAAGUCAUGGGUUAAUACAGGUUUAGGAUGCUAAAACAGGUGCCAACUUAUUCUUCUUGGACAUGACGCACCUGUUAGUUCUAUAUGCCCGCAUAGCAAAGAUAACAUUCAGUAUAUAUCUUUUCAACGGCUAUGAAUAGAAAGAUCAAGGCUUGGUUAGAUGUUGAUCCAGCUUCAAAAAUUGAUUAUGAAACCCCUGGUUAUGUCUGGACAAAAUGGCAUACAAUACUGAUGGGUCAUGUAACGCUUAGCAUUUUUGUAUAAUCCAUAUUUAGAAGAAAUGGCAUACAAUACUGAUGGGUCAUGUAAUGCUUAGCAUUUCUGUAUAAUCCAUAUUUAGACGAAAUGGCA